GCCUGGGGGAACUGCAGGGCGCAGGUGGUGUUCUUGCAUUUCUCACCGCAGAUUGGCAGAUUCCCAACCCUCCGCUGGCCCUCCCCCACUCCCAGGUCCCCACUCUUCUGCCCCUUUUCCUUGCGUUCUUCUCCCAGUUUCCUCCCGUUCCCCUCUCCUCUGCCCCUCAUCUCUCCUCUCCUCCGACUCUGUCCCGCUUCCCUCACCUCUGUCCCUGCUCCUACCCACUUUCCUAUUUCACUUCAACCCUCUCCAUACCACCUUUAACUCUCCCCCUUUCGCCCUUUCCAGGUAUCCAAACUUCUUUCUGUGAAGUCAACGCAAUCUUGCGCCGCCAGGGGGCUCUGUUGCCCUCCUAGCGCGGAAAUGGGAAGUGUCAGAAUAGAGAAAGUUCAGCAGUAAUUUCAGGCAGAAUCUUGAGGAGUCCUGGAACUGGAAAUGGCUCUAAAGGUGGGUGUGGGGCCCCACUGUACACUAUAGAUCCUAUGUACAGGACCUGGCUGUCAGGAAGGACCUGUCAAGAAGUCAGUCUGCGGGAUUUUCUGGGGGCUAUGGGAAAACCCCUGGGGUGAAUAUCUUUCUACAGCCAGGGCGUAUGGGUGUGGGUUGAGGGACCCCACUUCUGGAGGACACUGAGUGUUGGCAUAGGUAAUCAGGACAUCCUGGUGUGCAUGUGGAGGCCUGGGAAGGACAUUGAUCUGCCACCAGUCCUGGCUCUGUACUGUCUGAUCCCGUGGUGCUUGUCUGACCUAGUCAGGAUGGGGACACAGGGACCCAGCAGGUCAUGUGGAUAGAUGGCAAGGUGCCUGUGCUCUCAUUUGCCUGCUUGUCUUAGAGAAAGUGCAGUUAAAAAAGGAAGAGUUUAUUAGUAGGGUUUUCGUUUUUUUUUCUUCUGAGAGCAAUGUAUGCUCAUUUGAGAUUUGAAAGUCAGAUUUUUUAGAAGGGAGACUGGAAUAUAGUCUCCCUGGCUUGCACUUGGUGUUAGGGCUUUAGGAUGCCAGUGGACUGUAUGGCACUAUGUAGACAUAGCCCUGGUACUGACCAGGAAUUCUUCUGCCUUGGGUAGUCCCCAGCAGGUUGUCUUUGAGCUGUAUAGACCUCAAAUGUCCUGGGGGUGGGGUGGUGGGGAGCAGCUGGCAUUGUAGAGUGGCUCCAUCCAUGUCACACACACAGCCUGGGCAUGUGACUCUCCCUGUCCUGCAGCAGAGAUGGGAAAGGCCUGGAAUGCUUGCAUGCACACCUCCAGCCUUGGCUCUCACUAUGCACCCUGAUACUCUCUUCUGACCCUGGUUCCUUAUCUCCACCUUGGUCCCCCAUCUCCACCUUGGCCCCCCCAUCUCCACCCUGCUUCCCCAUCUUCCUUCUGCAUCCCUUGUACAGGGACUAUUCUCUGAGUCCAAUAGCCAUCUUGGGGACUUCAAUCAUGGGCUUGCUGACUCUUUACAUUCCCUCACAGAAAGGCAGGGAGACCCUCACCUUCACUGUAGGCAACUCUACCCCAAUAGCCAGUGCCCUCGGGGAGGGACUAGAGCAGACCGGACAGGAAGACUAGGGGACGAGGCUCCACUUAAACACCUAUGGAAAGCCACCAAACCUCUGGGUGAAGACUUUCUAGUGAAGCCUUUGGAGGGGCACCCGACUCUAGUAAGUAAUCCCUUACCUAUGCUUCGUGAGGAAGGCCUAUAAACUAAUUGGUUCCCCAGAGGGAGCUUUGGUGUAAUCCUAUCUCAGUUUGUUGUUGGGACCUUAGGAGAAGGGAUAGAUGCUUCCCCAUGGGAAGAAAUUUUAGCAACAACACUCAUCUUCCACCCUGGUCUUCCAACUGCACCUUGUGCCCUCAUCCUCAUCCUGGCCCCGCAUCCCUAUUCUGGUGCCUCAUCCCCACCCUGGUUCUUCAUCCCCACACUGCUUCCACCCCCCCCCAUCCUCACUCUGGCUCCCCACGUUCAUCUCUGGCCUCCAGGGCGUCUCCCAAGUCUGUUCUUCUGUUUCUAAUCAGAGAAGCAAUGGGGAUGUCCCUUUCCACUCUUGUCAUUGUCAACUGAGGCGACACCCACAUGUUUGUAAAGGCCAGCUGAGCAUUUGAGGAGCGGAGGAUAUUUUUGUUAAAUGCGCUAGUCUGGAGUUCUGAGCUUACUGUGAGACCCCUACUGGUCUGUAUUUAACUGGAGUCAAGGAAUAUCCAGAGGGCUGUGUUCUAUGCUUGGGAGGGAUGGUCUAGCCUCAAUGCAGAGGAGGCUAACCCUAGAGCUCCAGAUGUGGUGGUGGGUCAGAUAUUCUCAUUUCCCUGGGAUGGCCCAGACACUGGAGGCAAUGCCUCAAUCCAUCCUCCAUCCACUUCCUCGGAUGUUGACUGCCCUUCUGAGGUGGCGUGUCCUUCUCUGCAUGCCGUCUUUUUUUUGAGGUGUGGAUUGAUCCAUAAAUAAUAUGUAAUGUUGUUUUGUGUGCUAUAAAAAUUUGCAUAAAUGGGAUCACAUUGCCUGGUCUCUUCCUCACCUUCUUUCCCUCCGCACAGCGUGAUGAUUUGGGGAUUCAUCCAUGCUAAUCAGUGUGUCUCUCCCUUACUCAUUAAUGCUUGCGUGAGGAGAACGAGCUGUGGCUUGUGUCCCUGCUUGCUUGUGGAGAUGAUUUACAGGCUCACAGGUCCCAGCUAAGCAAAGGCCUGCCCUUGGGUGCUUUGUCCCCCUGCUCUGUUCUCUAGGGGCACCCAGCUAGUCACACUCUGCUCUUCAGACAGCACUUCUAGGGCACCCACCCACAGAUUUCAGGCGCAUGCUCAGCUGAGAGACUCGGGUGACUGUUGGAGGGUGCCAUGGUCUGAGCUUGUGGCUUGAACCAUGUUCCACUGCUGGGAUUCAGGAGGGGACAGGUGGUGCCCUGAGAGGCAUUGCCAGUAUUGCGUGGGCCUUCACAAGUGUAUAUGGAUGGAGUUAAUGGCCAGAGGUGACUCACAGACGGAGAGAGAGAUAACAGUAAAUCAAGGGAAAUCAAAGAUCUGACUGAAAGAAGUAAAACUCUGAAAAAUUGUAGAAGAAAACAGAUCUUCAUGCCAACAAGUGCUUGCCGACAGGAGCCUGAUAUAG